UUUCCCUGCUCCUGAUCAAAACAUGUGCAGUUCCUUUGGGAGUCAUUUGUUAAUGGCUAACCAAUCUUUUAGGCUAUUUUAUCCUCAGUUGUUAAUGGCUAACAGCAGUUCAGGAAUGAGCCAUUUCUGAUAACAGCAUUUCAGCAGCAAUGCCUUAACCAGGUGGAUUGACGAUAUAAGGUACUGCGGCAGAGAAAUUUAGGCGUAGAUUUAUGAGAUGGGAAAUAGAACCAUUUGGGGUAUAUGAAGAUUUGGCUCUAAAGUUAAGAAUUUCUUGAAUUCGAUUAUUGACUCUUGGCUUCUGUAAAAUGGUUGUGUUUCACAUGGAUGUAGGUAUGUGCCACAGCCGCAUGACGUCUUGAUUAGGUGACUCUGUCAAGAUUGCUUUAAAGGACAUCUGUACCACGGAGUUCCCAGACUGCAGAUUGGGAACAUCCUUUCUUAUUUCCAAAAUUAAACUUCCUCAUAUUUAUCGAGGCAGUUAUCAAGGUCUUAUUGAUGGAUAUAUUCAGUACCAUUUCUUCAGAGUUUUCAUUUGAUCCAGAGAAGUUCUUUUGAGGAAACAGAUCAAGUCACAUAGAAAUUUCCUUCCCUCUCUGUAAGCUGCCAUUGACCCUUCAGAACUCUGGAUUUCAGUGAAUCAUCACUUGAGAGGUAAAAAAUCUGAGUCUUGGAAAGAUGAAAUGACUCAUCCAAAUUCACAAGACAAUGACUGAUGGCCUAGACAGCUAUCCCCCAUCCAUCUCUACUCUUUUGGAAAGAUUACCUUAGUUACUUUGAUAUGCAUGUGGAAGUUUGGGGCGCUUAUCCACAGAGAUGCUGCAGGAGCUGUCACAAAGAGGAUUAUCCAAACAUGUGCUGAAUUUAAACCAUGUAUAUGGAUAAAGAGAUAUAUGAUUCAAGAAGAAAGAACAAUACCUCCGGAAACUGGAAAGUAAAAUAGGAAACAUAGCGUUCUGAUAAAAAACAGUAGGCAUCUUGUGCUGAGCAAGUCUGACGAAAGAAGCCUACUCAGCAACACUGUUAGCUGCUAGUUUGGUGCACACUACUGAUUGUAUUUCUAAAUCAAUUAUGCAACAAACAUGAUGGAAUGUAUGCAAGUUCUCUCUUCACUACUGUAUUUCUUUGUCAUGUAGAAGGUAUAAGGUGGCAGCAUAUUAUGUGUGAUCAUCUGUAUAUCAGGCCUGAUGUUUUUUGCUCAAUAGACUUGCCAUGAAGAACUCUCCAUGGACCCAUCAGUGUAAGAAAGUAAAUUUACACAGCACUUCAGGUCCAAAGACAAGCACAGCCAGGUGAAUCUCCUGGAUGGCCUCCCCUAUAUUUCUGACUCUCACUUUACCUGGCAAGUAAGAAACUUAGAGUCAGCUGUGUCUACUUCAAGCUGAGCUGGUUAAGACUGGAUUGGACCACUGGCCUUUCAACUGGGUAUGCUCGGUAACAUUUUGUACGUGCAGAGCCUUGCUUGCAAUGGACAAAACCAGCCUGAAAUCCUCUUUCUUCCCAUAGAAGCUCUUAGGCUGGGAAGGAAGACAUGAGAGUUCUUUGGAAAUGUUUAAAGUCACCAGCCAAAGUUGGAGCAUGCAGGCUUCAUUUGUACGAGAGACAAAAAGAAGUUUGUACAGAUCACAUCCUUGCUAUAUCUGAUUAUAUUAAAUUCAUUGAGCAGAAGCAGCAGUAAUGACCAAAACAGAAUAAGGAUGGAAACAAAGAAGAAUUCUUCAUUAUUUUCUUCUUCUCCCUCAAAUGAGAGGACUCAGCCAGGAUGACAGUCUCUCAGAUCUCUCUGAGGGACUGCUCCGAAGAGGUGGAGGAGGAGCCAGGAUACACAGGAGCUUUACAACAAAGACCAGGUGAAGACUUGCCUCUGCUGCAGGACACUGCAGAUUUUGCUGGAACAUCUGUGAAGAGAAGAUGGAUACUGAACUGCUGAAAGUUGAAGGACCAGGCACUGCUCUAAAGUUUUUGGGAGUCAUGUAGCCUUAGACUUCCUCUGCUCCUGUGGUGUCUGAUCAUGGCAUGGGUACCUGAUGAUAAUAACCUUUCUACAGUGGACUUACUCAUAGUAACUCUGUAAAAGGAAUCAAUCCAGCUGUUGGGUAUGUGGGCAGCUGCCCGUCUAGCUCAUCAGGAUUGCCAUGGUUAAAACCAGGAUGGGGAAAACGUUAAGCAAGCACGUAGAUCUAGCACAUGCCAUCAUACUGGCUGAGAAUUGAUGCUCACGUCUACUUGGAGCUAGCCCAGAGCGGAGGCACGCCCCCUGCGAAGGCUGUUGGUGAACCUCCUGUGUGUGACUCUGUCCUGUUUCGGUUGGAGUUUCUUGGAAUGACAAUACAGAAGAUGUGUAACGAGAUUUGUUGUAAGGAAUAUUUAUCCUCCCUGCAAAACCUCAGGAACUGAGUGAGAAUCAUGCAAGGCAGUGGGCCUCGGAAUCCCUUUUAAAGAUUCUCCAAGUCAGUUAAAGUCAUCUCUUCGUAUUUAUGAGAAGACACCUGUUGGAACAGAAGCCAAAGAUGCUGACACCAGGACUGAGAAACACCCUAUUUGCUGGCAGAAGUAUGCAAACACUCAUCAAAGAAAAUUGAAGUAACCACAUGUGUAUAUAAGUAGACUUCAAAAAAAGAAAAUCAGCAGGUGUCAACAUAAUGAAAAUGGGAUGAGAUCAUCAAACAGACAAAACAAAUGGAUGAUGUGAAUGAUGAAUGAAGGUGACAUACGUGUCUUCUACAGAGCCAUAUGGUUAUUAACGUAGCUAUAGACGUAUUUUAACUACAUUUAUGUAGUUAGAAUAAAAAGGCAAAAUAAAAUUUCUAGAGAAUUUAAAGCAAAAUUAUUAUGUAUUUCAUAGAAAUAAGUUACU